GACGAACGCUGGCGGCGUGCCUAAUACAUGCAAGUCGAGCGCAGGAAACCAGAUGACCCCUUCGGGGUGAUUCUGGCGGAAUGAGCGGCGGACGGGUGAGUAACACGUGGGCAACCUGCCUGUAAGACUGGGAUAACUUCGGGAAACCGGAGCUAAUACCGGAUAGUAUUUCCUUUCUCCUGAUUGGAAAUGGAAAGACGGUUUCGGCUGUCACUUACAGACGGGCCCGCGGUGCAUUAGCUAGUUGGUGGGGUAAUGGCCAACCAAGGCGGCGAUGCAUAGCCGACCUGAGAGGGUGAUCGGCCACACUGGGACUGAGACACGGCCCAGACUCCUACGGGAGGCAGCAGUAGGGAAUCUUCCGCAAUGGACGAAAGUCUGACGGAGCAACGCCGCGUGAGCGAUAAAGGCCUUCGGGUCGUAAAGCUCUGUUGUUAGGGAAGAACAAGUACGAGAGUAACUGCUCGUACCUUGACGGUACCUAACCAGAAAGCCCCGGCUAACUACGUGCCAGCCGCCGCGGUAAUAC
rnacentral:rRNA from 1 species